rnacentral:rRNA from 1 species
AUUGAACGCUGGCGGCAGGCCUAACACAUGCAAGUCGAGCGGGGUUUUCGGACCUAGCGGCGGACGGGUGAGUAAUGCGUAGGAAGCUACCCGAUAGGGGGGGAUACCAGUUGGAAACGACUGUUAAUACCGCAUAAUGUCUACGGACCAAAGUGUGGGACCUUCGGGCCACAUGCUAUCGGAUGCGCCUACGUGGGAUUAGCUAGUUGGUGGGGUAAUGGCUCACCAAGGCGACGAUCCCUAGCUGGUUUGAGAGGAUGAUCAGCCACACUGGAACUGAGACACGGUCCAGACUCCUACGGGAGGCAGCAGUGGGGAAUAUUGGACAAUGGGCGCAAGCCUGAUCCAGCCAUGCCGCGUGUGUGAAGAAGGCCUUCGGGUUGUAAAGCACUUUCAGUAGGGAGGAAGGAUGUUGUGUUAAUAGCACAGCAUUUUGACGUUACCUACAGAAGAAGCACCGGCUAACUCUGUGCCAGCCGCCGCCGUAAUAC